rnacentral:rRNA from 1 species
CCGGGCCGUACCAAGGCGAUGAUGCAUAGCCCGAGUUGAGAGACUGAUCGGGGCCACAUUGGGGACUGAGACACGGGCCCAAACUCCUACGGGAGGCAGCAGUAGGGAAUCUUCCACAAUGGACGCAAGUCUGAUGGAGCAAACGCCGCGUGAGUGAAGAAGGGUUUCGGCUCGUAAAAAGCUCUGUUGUUGGUGAAGAAGGACAGGGGUAGUAACUGACCCUUUGUUUGACGGUAAUCAAUUAGAAAGUCACGGGCUAACUACGUGCCAGCAGCCGCGGUAAAU